rnacentral:rRNA from 1 species
GAUGAACGCUAGCGGCAGGCCUAACACAUGCAAGUCGAGGGAGAAGCCCUUUCGGGGGCAGAAACCGGCGCACGGGUGCGUAACGCGUAUGCAACCUACCUUUCACAGGGGGAUAGCCCGAAGAAAUUUGGAUUAAUACCCCAUAAUAUUAUUGGAUGGCAUCAUUUGAUAAUUAAAACUGCGGUGGUGAAAGAUGGGCAUGCGUCCUAUUAGCUAGUUGGAGUGGUAACGGCACCCCAAGGCUACGAUAGGUAGGGGUCCUGAGAGGGAGAUCCCCCACACUGGUACUGAGACAGGGACCAGACUCCUACGGGAGGCAGCAGUGGGGAAUAUUGGUCAAUGGUCGGAAGACUGAACCAGCCAUGCCGCGUGCAGGAAGAAUGCCUUAUGGGUUGUAAACUGCUUUUAUAUGGGAAGAAUAAGGCGUACGUGUACGUUGAUGACGGUACCAUAUGAAUAAGCAUCGGCUAACUCCGUG